rnacentral:snRNA from 1 species
AUCACUUCUCGGCCUUUUGGCUAAGAUCAAGUGUAGUUGGACCUCAUUUAACUUUAAUUCCUUACAGGCCCUGUCUCCAAAUACAGUCACAAUGGGGAUUAGGGCUUCACCAU